GUAAGUUUUCCUAUAAAUUAAAAUGACAAGCAUUUCUUAUAAUGGAGUAUGCAUGAUCCCUUCAUGUGUAGCACAGCCUGUAUACAUGACAAGCCUCCAGCUCUGUCAUUUGCAAUCCUUUGACAGGCUUUUAUUUAUUCAAUUUACUCAUCCCAGUGAUUCCUUUUGAAGUAUUUCAUUCCAGCCACAGCGGAGUCAGCCUGUGUUUGUUUUGUUAACCCUGGAAGCCAAUCUGAAUGACUUUUGUCCUAAAGUGAGACAUUGGAGCAACACAUAUCUGACUUCAUCUCUUAUCACAUGUGCCUUUAUUGUAAAGAUAAUAUUUACAAACCCCAACACUUCUGUCUGUUCUUAGUAUAUAUAAGCACGCUACAGUGAAUGGCCACAAUCCUUCACAAGACGCUCCAUUCUUUGUGCCAAAAGCACAAUAGCUGCGUUCACUGAAGGCUCUGUCACCAACGUAUUACUUGUAAAGAC